GACGAACCGUCCAAACGUUACUCGGAAUUACUGGGCUUAAAGGGUGCGUAGGCUGCGCGGAAAGUUGGGUGUGAAAUCCCUCGGCUCAACCGGGGAAUUGCAUUCAAAACUACCGUGCUCGAGGGAGACAGAGGUAAGCGGAACUCAAGGUGGAGCGGUGAAAUGCGUUGAUAUCUUGAGGAACACCGGUGGCGAAGGCGGCUUACUGGGUCUCUUCUGACGCUGAGGCACGAAAGCUAAGGUAGCAAACGGG
rnacentral:rRNA from 1 species